CUCAUUUACCCCGAAGAGUUUGUACAGGCUUCCAGUGGCCAAGGGGAUAUAUCUCUCAUUUACCCCGAAGAGUUUGUACAGGCUUCCAGUGGCCAAGGGGAUAUAUCUCUCAUUUACCCCGAAGAGUUUGCGGAGGACCCCCUACCACGCAGGUUUAUCUCUCAUUUACAACCGAAGAGUUUGCGGAGGACCCCCUACCAUGCAGGUUUAUCUCUCAUUUACAACCUUUUAACACAGCUAGCAAAUUCGUUCAACACACGAGGCAAGCAGGAAUAUCUCUAACAACUUUGUAACCUUAAAGAAUUCCUUCUCUACCCCGC
ensembl:lncRNA